UACUAGGUGGACCCUCGUCUGGUCUGAUACUAGGUGGACCCGCGUCUGGUCUGAUCCUAGGUGGACCCUCGUCUGGUCUGAUACUAGGUGGACCCUCGUCUGGUCUGAUACUAGGUGGACCCUCGUCUGGUCUGAUACUAGGUGGACCCUCGUCUGGUCUGAUCCUAGGUGGACCCUCGUCUGGUCUGAUACUAGGUGGACCCUCGUCUGGUCUGAUACUAGGUGGUCCCUCGUCUGGUCUGAUCCUAGGUGGACCCACGUCUGGUCUGAUACUAGGUGGACCCACGUCUGGUCUGAUCCUAGGUGGACCCACGUCUGGUCUGAUACUAGGUGGACCCUCGUCUGGUCUGAUACUAGGUGGACCCACGUCUGGUCUGAUACUAGGUGGACCCACGUCUGGUCUGAUACUAGGUGGACCCUCGUCUGGUCUGAUACUAGGUGGACCCUCGUCUGGUCUGAUACUAGGUGGACCCACGUCUGGUCUGAUCCUAGGUGGACCCACGUCUGGUCUGAUACUAGGUGGACCCGGGUGCAUUUUACAGACAUGUUAUUUAGUCCUGUCAUAAUAGUGGGGUGGUAUUCAUUAAGCAUCAGGUAUUUAACUCCAGUCUGAUUAGGGCUGUUGUGUUCCUGAUUAGCUUGUCUGUUUACGUGCUCCCAACGACAUUCCCACAAAUUGUCCCAAAUCAGCCGACGAGGCGCGCUCCACCCCGAGCAGCCCCACCCAAACAGACAUAUACACACCAGCCCCAUCUAAAGAUAUGAGAGAGAGGGAAGGAAGGAACAUAUUAUGGAAAUGAAGGGUGUCAAGUGCAAAUUAGAUUGGAACUUUGUGAAACAGCAGCAUUGAGUAUUGCCACCAGCUCCCUUGACAACUGCACCGAAACUUGCGCGUGGCUUAAUGAGAAAAUUCCAAAGUGGCUCUUGAAAGUGUCUGUGACGCUGGAGAAUGGAGUGGCAUCUUUCUUUUAAUACUGACCUGCUGGGAGUCCGUUGGGUGUCAUUGAUAUAUAAUAUGGCGAUCAGCCGUAUUAUAGCAAAACAAUACUGUUAUUCAACCAAAGCCUAUAUCCAAGAGAGUGUUGUGAUGAAACGACUUGUCUUUUAAUGUGGCAAGGCUUCUCUCAGAACUAUUUCACUAGUCAAAACAAACACAUUUACUUUACAUUCCAAGUUUAUUGAAUGUUUUUCCCUGGGAAACACACUCACCAAACACCCUCACCCAACGACACCCUCACCCAACGACACCCUCACCCAACGACACCCUCACCCAACGACACCCUCACCCAACGACACCCUCACCCAACCACACCCUCACCCAACGACACCCUCACCCAACGACACCCUCACCCAACGACACCCUCACCCAACGACACCCUCACCCAACGACACCCUCACCCAACGACACCCUCACCCAACGACACCCUCACCCAACGACACCCUCACCCAACGACACCCUCACCCAACGGCACCCUCACCCAACGACACCCUCACCCAACGACACCCUCACCCAACGGCACCCUCGCCCAACGGCACCCUCACCCAACGGCACCCUCACCCAACGACACCCUCACCCAACGGCACCCUCACAGACUGAGACAGGCCACCCAAGCAGCAUAGAUCUGUUGCUAUGGUUACGUGGAGGUUGCUGCAGUGUUGUACCAGCGUCCUCUUAAGGUUACUAUGACUCUGCCUGCCAAUGACCUAAACACACUGUAACCUCUAUGGAAGGAUCUGCCCUGGUUUACCCUCAUCUCUUUCUUAACGCUCGACUGCCCUCUCUCUUUCCCUCAUUUACCCCCAUCCUCCCCUCAGGUGAGGGCGUCCUUCUCUCCUCUCCUUUCCUCUGUCCUUAAUUUUCCUUCCCCAUCGCCCUUCUCCUCCGCUCACUCAGAAAUCAGAGGACUUAAUGACAGCAGGCAUGUCCAGUCAGCUGACCCCAACUAACCUCCUAAA